UAGUAGUUGCGUUAGGGAUAGCAGCGGAAAUCCUUUUUGUGAAGUAUGAGCAAAAAGAUUGAAGCGAAUAGCCCGCCGCGAC
rnacentral:sRNA from 1 species